UUGCAUGCAUAAAGUAUAAUCUAUUCAUGUUGUAUAUAGCGAAUGAUUGAAUACAUUCAAAACCAAGAAGAUGAGAAAAAGCACUUGCUAGAAAAGGGUGUAACUCUGAAUCAAAAAGCUGCAGGCACUUUUGAGAAAAGAAGAUACAUCACAAAGAGGAAAAGGUGGUAUCAGAAGUGUUGCAUUGUAUUAUAGCAUAAUAGCGAAAAUCAUCAAAACAUUAGUAAAGCACUUUUUUGAGGUGUAUGAUGCUUUACUGAGGUGUAUGAAUUUUGAGGUGCAUGAAUUAGUGUGCACUUUUAGAGGUG